rnacentral:rRNA from 1 species
UAAUACAGAGGGUGCAAGCGUUAAUCGGAUUUACUGGGCGUAAAGCGUGUGUAGGUGGUUGUUCAAGUCGGUUGUGAAAUCCCUGGGCUUAACCUGGGAACUGCUUCCGAGACUGAGCGACUAGAGUACGGUAGAGGGCGGUGGAAUUUCCGGUGUAGCGGUGAAAUGCGUAGAUAUCGGAAGGAACACCAAUGGCGAAGGCAGCCGCCUGGGCCUGUACUGACACUGAGACACGAAAGCGUGGGGAUCAAACAGG